rnacentral:rRNA from 1 species
UACGUAGGGUGCGAGCGUUAAUCGGAAUUACUGGGCGUAAAGCGUGCGCAGGCGGUUCGUUGUGUCUGUGGUGAAAGCCCCGGGCUCAACCUGGGAAUUGCGGUUGAAACUGGCGAACUAGAAUCUGGCAGAGGGGGGUGGAAUUCCACGUGUAGCAGUGAAAUGCGUAGAGAUGUGGAGGAACACCGAUGGCGAAGGCAGCCCCCUGGGCUGAGAUUGACGCUCAGGCACGAAAGCGUGGGGAGCAAACAGG